rnacentral:rRNA from 1 species
CCUACGGGCGGCUGCAGUGGGGAAUAUUGGACAAUGGGCGACAGCCUGAUCCAGCCAUGCCGCGUGUGUGAAGAAGGCCUUCGGGUUGUAAAGCACUUUCAGUGGGGAAGAAAGCCUUGGGGCUAAUACCCUCGAGGAAGGACAUCACCCACAGAAGAAGCACCGGCUAACUCCGUGCCAGCAGCCGCGGUAAUACGGAGGGUGCGAGCGUUAAUCGGAAUUACUGGGCGUAAAGCGCGCGUAGGCGGUCUGAUAAGCCGGUUGUGAAAGCCCCGGGCUCAACCUGGGAACGGCAUCCGGAACUGUCAGGCUAGAGUGCAGGAGAGGAAGGUAGAAUUCCCGGUGUAGCGGUGAAAUGCGUAGAGAUCGGGAGGAAUACCAGUGGCGAAGGCGGCCUUCUGGACUGACACUGACGCUGAGGUGCGAAAGCGUGGGUAGCAAACAGGAUUAGAUACCCGAGUAGUC